UUCCUGAUGAAUUGGAGAUUGAUACCCCAUAUGGCUCAAAACUACAGACAAUUGAAUACGAUUGGAAGCCUUCCUUUUGUAAUCAUUGUCUCAAAUUUGGUCAUGAUGCAUUUGAAUGUUGGUAUUAUAAGGAUGGUAAACCUGAGCAGAGCAAGGAGGCUCAAAUUAAACCUAUAAGACAAAAAGGAAGAGUGAGUCAGCAGGGGAAUCAGAAGGGGAAACAUAUCAGAAUUGAAUGGAUUGCUAAGCAGACCGUGGUUGAGCAGAAUAGUACAGUGAUUCCUGCAGUAGAGGCUAUUGAUGAGCAGACUAGUAAUGUGGUUCCUGUAGUAGAGGGUCAAUUAUUGGAGCAAUCUCAUGGGGAGACUGAUGGACCACAGCACACCUUGCAGCCUGAAACUGUUCCUUUAGUCAGUUCAGAAACUGCACUCACUAUUGCUGAAUUUGAGAAAGGAGAACAUCAGACAGAUCUUGCCAAUAAUGGUAAGGCUGUCAUGAAUGAGAAUGGAAGCAGUAGCUAUAAUGUAGACCCUGGUCCAUCUUACAGGGUAGAACCUUAUUCCCAAUGAUUGUUGUAACUUGGAACAUAAGGGGGCUUAAUCAGCCUCAUAAGCAAAAGGAGUUGAAAAACUUCUUAGCUAAAAAUAAAGUAGAUGUCAUNNN
rnacentral:lncRNA from 1 species